AUCGUGCGCCACUUCGUCCGGGACGCCGUCCGCAAGGACGUCGGCCUCGCCGCCGGCCUCCUCCGCCUCCACUUCCACGACUGCUUCGUCCAGGGGUGCGGCCGUGCCCGCGUCAUGCAUGCAUGCAGGGCUGCGACGGGGCCGGGGGAGCAGCGGGCGCCGCCCAACCUCACGCUCCGCCCCUCCGCCUUCAAGGCCAUCAACGACAUCCGGGAUCGGCUGGAGCGCGAGUGCCGCGGCGCCGUCGUCUCCUGCUCCGACAUCCUGACGCUCGCCGCGCGCGACUCCGUGGUCGCCACCGGCGGGCCCGAGUACCGCGUGCCGCUCGGCCGGCACGACAGCCCGCGGUUCGCCACGCCGCAGGACGUGCUGUCCGGCCUCCCCGCGCCCACCUCCGCCGUGCCGUCCCUCCUGGACGUCUUCACAACCACAGCCUCCACCUCGACUUCACCGACCUCGUCGCGCUCUCCGGCGGGCACACCGUGGGGCUCGGGCACUGCGCCUCCUUUGAGGGCCGCCUCUUCCCGCGCCCCGACCUCCUCCGCAGGCUGA
rnacentral:rRNA from 1 species